CCGUUGGUGAACCAGCGGAGGGAUCAUUA
rnacentral:rRNA from 22 species